GGGCGGUUAGCUCAGCGGAAGAGCAGCCGGCUUACAACCGGCAGGUCACUGGUUCGAGCCCAGUACCGCCCACCG
rnacentral:tRNA from 1 species